rnacentral:rRNA from 1 species
AUCAGGUAGGAAUACCCGCUGAACUUAAGCAUAUCAAUAAGCGGAGGAAAAGAAACUAACCAGGAUUCCCCUAGUAACGGCGAGUGAAGCGGGAAUAGCUCAAAUUUUAAAUCUGGCCGGCGUGGUCGGUCCGAGUUGUAAUUUGAAGAAGCGAUUAUCACGUUUUCGUUCGGGUUCGAGUUCCUUGGAAUAGGACAUCAGAGAGGGUGAGAAUCCCGUCUGUGAUCCGAUCGGUUUCGGUACGAUAACGUUUCUAAGAGUCGAGUUGUUUGGGAUUGCAGCUCAAAAUGGGUGGUAAAUUUCAUCUAAGGCUAAAUAUAGGCGAGAGACCGAUAGCGAACAAGUACCGUGAGGGAAAGAUGAAAAGAACUUUGAAAAGAGAGUUAAACAGUACGUGAAAUUGUUGAUAGGGAAACGAUUGAAGUCAGUCAUGCCGGUGAGAAAUCAGCUCACAGGCUACUGUGGGUGCACUCUUUCGCAAGGCAGGUUAACAUCGGUUUUUGUUGCGUUAUAAUGAUUGUAGGAAGGUGGCUCCUUCGGGAGUGUUAUAGCCUACUUUAGAUGACGCGACGAGGACUGAGGAUUGCAGCGAAUGCCUUUGGCUACGGAUCUGUUCUCUGUCGAUCUUCAAUUGAUCGUCAGCUUGCUGACGAGCGGUUGAUGGGUUUACAAUAGGAUGGAAUCCGAUAAAUUCGCUAAGGAUGUUGACGUAAUGGCUUUAAACGACCCGUCUUGAAACACGGACCAAGGAGUCUAACAUAUGUGCGAGUGUU